rnacentral:rRNA from 1 species
AUUGAACGCUGGCGGUAUGCUUAACACAUGCAAGUCGAACGGCAGCAUGGUCUAGCUUGCUAGACUGAUGGCGAGUGGCGGACGGGUGAGUAACGCGUAGGAAUAUGCCUUGAAGAGUGGGACAACUUGGGGAAACUCAAGCUAAUACCGCAUGUACUCGAGAGAGUAAAGCUGGGGACCUUAGGCCUGGCGCUUUAAGAUUAGCCUGCGUCCGAUUAGCUAGUUGGUAGGGUAAAGGCCUACCAAGGCGACGAUCGGUAGCUGGUCUGAGAGGAUGAUCAGCCACACUGGAACUGAGAGACGGUCCAGACUCCUACGGGAGGCAGCAGUGGGGAAUAUUGGACAAUGGGGGGAACCCUGAUCCAGCAAUGCCGCGUGUGUGAAGAAGGCCUGAGGGUUGUAAAGCACUUUCAGUGGGGAGGAGGUUUGGAAGGUUAAGAGCUAUUCAAAUGGACGUUACCCACAGAAGAAGCACCGGCUAACUCCGCGCCAGCCGCCGCAGUAA